GAGGUGUGGACCCGCGCCGGCCGCCCAGCCGCGGGAGUGAUCCUCCCAGCGAAAAUCCAACCUCUCCCUGCCUGGCUCCGUGGGAAUCCAGGAGAGGCCCAGGCAGAAAACCAGACAGGAAAGGAGCAAGAUCCAGGCUGGGGAUUAGCAUCUGCAAAUUGAACUCUAUCUAAUUUGCAUGUUUAUUUCUUAGAAUUGUAAUUAAAUUUGUGUAAUAAAUGUUUUCCAUUUCAUUUGUACACUUAAAAUUUGGGUGACUGACAUGCAGUUAAGUGACUUUCUUUUUUCAAGCAAAUGUAGUUUGUUCAAUAAAGCAGCAAACAAAUAUUAAACAUAAUUAGAAC